UACGGAAGAUGCGAGCGUUAUCUGGAUUUAUUGGGUUUAAAGGGAGCGCAGGCGGGCUUUUAAGCGUGACGUGAAAUGUGGAUGCUCAACAUCUGAACUGCGUCGCGAACUGGUGGCCUUGAGUGAGUACGACGUGCACGGAAUUCGUGGUGUAGCGGUGAAAUGCUUAGAUAUCAGGAAGAACUCCGAUUGCGAAGGCAGUGCACGAGUCCUUUACUGACGCUAAAGCUCGAAAGUGCGGGUAUCGAAC
rnacentral:rRNA from 1 species